AGGACUACACGGCAUCAAAUCUACCACCUGGUAUAACCGUGGUAAUUCUAUAGCUAAUACAUGCGAGAGAAAUGGCGACUUCGGAAGCCAUGCAGUUAUUAGAUACAAGCACACACUUGGGGUAAAACCCAGUCUUGGUGACUCAUAGUAACAUGCCGAUCGAGAUUGUGUCGACAGCACGUUUGAUUUUCUGCCCUAUCAUGGCUCUGUGUACGGUAGUGGCGUACACUG
rnacentral:rRNA from 1 species